rnacentral:lncRNA from 1 species
ACGCCUUGUAGUGACUUGCGGGGCAGGGCUGAGAGACUCGGUACCGGGGAGUCGCGGGAGUCGGGAACACACUGCCGAGCCGCCACCUGCCCUCCUGCCUGCACAUUUCCUUUGAGCAGAGCCUUUGAGGGCUGCGAAGCUGGAGGAGUUAGGGUAAGACAGUGAGGGCAGCGCUUAGCUAGUUAGGAGGUGAGAAUCUCCGCCACGCCAGGGUGGGAAGAAAGGGUCAAGUCUGAGGUGAGGAUGGAGAUAGGUCCUAGGUAUAGAAGAGGGUUCCAGGUCUGGUGUGAGAGUGGAGAGAGGAUCAAGAUGGGAGACAGAGAUCAAGAUCUGAAGUGAUGAGAAGGAUUCAUGUCUUAGAAAGGCUGAGGGGAGGUCCUGGGAGGAUGUGUGGGUCUUCAGUGAUGGAUUGGUUAAGACUAGAAUUGGAAAAGGGACCCAGGUCUGAAGAGGGGUGGGAUUGAGGCUGGGGUGAGAGAGGGAUCUAGGUCGGAGGUGGGGUGGGAACGGGAGCACUAAGACUGGUGGAGUCCGCACUGGCGAACGGACAGGUCUUAGUUAGCUGGGUGUCGCAGCUCCGGGUGCAGGAAUGGAACCGAUGCUUUCCUCACGGAGCAGGCACCGCCCUAAGGAAGUCUCCCGCCGGCCCGGGUCCGCGACUGCGCUCGCGACAACAGGACCGGGUCACCAUCCUCCCGCCUGGCCUCAGCUCCCUGAUCCUUCUCCGAGCGAGCGACGGACCGGCCUCUGCCCACCACACGUUCCUUGUGAAAGCAGGCCGUGGGCGGUGCCCGGGCUUCAGCCUUCCCAGAAGCCGCUUUUCCUGGGGCUCUUGAGUUGAGGAGAGCACUCCCUGCCGUUUCCCCCAAAGCAGGUGAUUAUGAAGUCUUCAUCAAUCUGAAAGGGGGUUCAAGACUGCAGGAAAACUCUGUCUUUACGGAGAGACGAGCGGAGUCUGGUUCCCACUAAGUGUGGUAUUGUCGCUGGUCCCUCGCCAGUUCUGCUCUUCAUUCAUCUUCUUCAAUUCUCCCCCCAAAGGGCAACUCAAUUGUGGGCUAAAUAAAACUUUAAUUUACAUUAUUAUGGAAUCAAAGCUACUGUUCACGGUGUCCCUGUGUAGUAUAACGCAGCGGUAUUUCCUUUACCAGCCUUUUGUUUUUCCCGGGAUCAGUUAUUAUGAAAUGUGGUUUAUUAAGCUUUCUAUGUACUCAUGAUCCAUUAAUGUCCCCUCUAAUGCGCUGUCCGAACUGUAAAUAUUCACAAUGUCUUCCUAAUACGAUCGUGACUGCGGAACGGUUGAAUAGGAAGCCAAUUGCACAACUGUUGUUCUAGGGUUUCUCUUCACUGUCGUCCUGGGAUUUCAGCUCUUGUGUGAGUCCCUUGUGAUCUGGAUUCUGUAUUUAUUUUUCCUUUAGUUUGGUAGGGCACAUUCUCCAGUAACUUUCUGAAAAGGGGUAAGAUGAUAAAAAAAAAUUAAAGAUCUUAAUUGUCUCAAAA